UAAAAGAUCUAUAGGAUAAUCAUAGGUCCUAUGCGGAAGAAGCGACAGCCUUGUUUUUAGCAAAUGCCUCCUUAACACUAAGAUAAGGGGUAAUUAUGUCAGUAGAUAAUGGUGACAUAGUCGGAGCAUUAAUCAGAAAUAUAGGUCUAGUUGCAGAGACGCAUUUCUGAAUACAUUUGUCACUCCAAGAUAUAAUCUCUCCAUUUUCCCAAUCAAUCGAAGGGUUAUGCAGUCUUAACCAAG